rnacentral:rRNA from 1 species
AUGCCUCUCUAUAUAGUAUCUGACAGAGACCCAGUUUUCACCAGCAAAUUCUGGAAGGCUCUGGUGAAGAGAACAAGAGUUGUACUUAAUAUGAGCACAGCCUAUCAUCCUGAAACUGAUGGGCAGACUGAGCGUGCUAAUCAGCAAGUGGAGUGUUUUUUGAGAUGUUUCAUCAGUGCUCAUCCGAACAAGUGGGCAAAAUGGCUUUCUCUUUGUGAGUUUUGGUAUAAUACCAACUGGCAUUCAACUCUCAACAAAUCUCCAUUUGAGGUUCUUUAUGGUCAAGGUCCUCGGCAUUUUGGCAUUUCCAUUUCAGAUUCGAUUGACCCUGUGGAUUUGCAGCAGUGGUUAGAUGCUCGAGCAAUGGUUCAGCAGUCAGUGCGUCAGCAUUUGUUGCGUGUUCAGCAAAGAAUGAAACAUCAAGCUGACAAGAAAUGUAUUGAAAGGAUAUUUGAUGUGGGGGAUCGGGUCUUUCUUAAACUUCAGCCGUAUGUGCAGUCAUCAGUGGUGCAUAGAGCAAACCAUAAACUUGCCUUCAAGUAUUUUGGUCCGUUCCUGAUUCUGGAGAAGAUUGGUGAAGUGGCUUAUCGGUUGUAG